rnacentral:rRNA from 1 species
CCUACGGGAGGCAGCAGUGGGGAAUUGUUCGCAAUGGGCGAAAGCCUGACGACGCAACGCCGCGUGGAGGAUGAAGGUCUUCGGAUUGUAAACUCCUGUUGCUCGGGACGAAUAGCUUCAACCUAAUACGUUGAGGUCUGACGGUACCGAGUGAGGAAGCCCCGGCUAACUCUGUGCCAGCAGCCGCGGUAAUACAGAGGGGGCAAGCGUUGUUCGGAAUUACUGGGCGUAAAGGGCGCGUAGGCGGCCCGCUAAGUCGAACGUGAAAUCCCCGGGCUCAACCCGGGAACUGCGUCCGAUACUGGUGGGCUUGAAUCCGGGAGAGGGAUGUGGAAUUCCAGGUGUAGCGGUGAAAUGCGUAGAUAUCUGGAGGAACACCGGUGGCGAAGGCGGCAUCCUGGACCGGCAUUGACGCUGAGGCGCGAAAGCCAGGGGAGCAAACGGGAUUAGAUACCCCGGUAGUCCUGGCCCUAAACGAUGAAUGCUUGGUGUGGCGGGUAUCGAUCCCUGCCGUGCCGAAGCUAACGCAUUAAGCAUUCCGCCUGGGGAGUACGGUCGCGAGNNGAACACAANAGAGUUAGACGGCGUGAGACGUGCCGACGGACGACGACGAGGGAGGUUAGG